rnacentral:sRNA from 1 species
CAACCCAGAAGAGACAAAGAGC